AUUGAACGCUGGCGGCAGGCCUAACACAUGCAAGUCGAACGAGUGGCGGACGGGUGUGUAAUGUCUGGGAAAAUGCCCGAUGGAGGGGGAUAACUACUGGAAACGGACGCUAAUACCGCAUACCAUCGGAGGUGCCCAGGUUGGAUUAGCUAGUAGGUGGGGUAACGGCGCACCCAGGCGACGAUCCCUAGCUGGUCUGAGAGGAUGACCAGCCACACUGGAACUGAGACACGGCCCAGACUCCUACGGGAGGCAGCAGUGGGGAAUAUUGCACAAUGGGCGCAAGCCUGAUGCAGCCAUGCCGCGUGUAUGAAGAAGGCCUUCGGGUUGUAAAGUACUUUCAGCGAGGAGGCGUUACUCGCAGAAGAAGCAUCGGCUAACUCCGUGCCAGCAGCCGCGGUAAUUC
rnacentral:rRNA from 1 species